CAGUCGCCGCGGUAAUACGGAGGGAGCUAGCGUUGUUCGGAAUUACUGGGCGUAAAGCGCGCGUAGGCGGUUACUCAAGUCAGAGGUGAAAGCCCUGGGCUCAACCCCGGAACUGCCUUUGAAACUAGGUGACUAGAAUCUUGGAGAGGUCAGUGGAAUUCCGAGUGUAGAGGUGAAAUUCGUAGAUAUUCGGAAGAACACCAGUGGCGAAGGCGACUGACUGGACAAGUAUUGACGCUGAGGUGCGAAAGCGUGGGGAGCAAACGGGAUUAGAUACCCCCGUAGUCCCUGUCUCUUAUAA
rnacentral:rRNA from 1 species